AUGUGAUCGUCUCUCGCAUAUCAAUAAGCGGAGGAAAAGAAACUAACAAGGAUUCCCCUAGUAACGGCGAGUGAAGCGGGAAGAGCUCAAAUUUGAAAUCUUAAAGGGUUUCCCUUUACGAAUUGUAGUUUAAAGAAGUGUUUUCUGUUGAGGUUUUGGUAAAAGUUCUUUGGAAUAGGACAUCAUAGAGGGUGAGAAUCCCGUAUUUGACCUUUACUUUCAACUUUGUGAUACACUUUCAAAGAGUCGGAUUGUUUGGGAAUGCAGUCCAAAAUGGGUGGUAAAUUUCAUCUAAAGCUAAAUAUUGGCGAGAGACCGAUAGCGAACAAGUACCGUGAGGGAAAGAUGAAAAGAACUUUGAAAAGAGAGUUAAACAGUACGUGAAAUUGUCAAAAGGGAAGCGUUUGACACCAGUGUUGUUUUUCUGAAAAUCAAUUAAGGAACUGUUUAUGCUAAGCUGUUAGACUUUAUCAGCUAUCUGUUUAGUUUUGAGCUUUUCUUUAAUGCACUUUUCAGUUAACAAGUCAACAUCAAUUUCUUUUGCUGUAAAAAAGCUUGAGGAAGGUGGCUUGAGAUUCGUCGUCUUAAGUGUUUAUAGCCUCUUGCCUAUGCAGUCGGAGAGAUUGAGGUCUGCAGCGUAGAUCCUUCGGGGCUAAAUGCAUUUGUGCUAAGUUAUAGCAUUUUAUAGACAACUUGUUGACUAUGAUUUGUCUUGUAGCUUACUCGCUUAUGUUAUUUUACCUACGCUUAGGAUGUUGAGUAGCGACAUACGCAC
rnacentral:rRNA from 1 species